rnacentral:rRNA from 1 species
UACAGAGGUCUCGAGCGUUAGGCGGAAUCACUGGGCUUAAAGCGUGUGUAGGCGGAUCGGUAAGUACCUUGUGAAAAUCCCACAUGCUUAACUGUGGAACUGCUUGGUAUACUGCCAGUCUUGAGCCAGCUAGGGGCUACCGGAACAAAUGGUGGAGCGGUGAAAUGCGUAGAUAUCAUUUGGAACGCCAAAGGUGGAAAACAGGUAGCUGGGGCUGUGCUGACGCUGAGAACACGAAAGCCAGGGGAGCAAACGGG